rnacentral:lncRNA from 1 species
AGAAAAAAAAAAAAUGUUGAAACAAAGCAAAAUGCUAUAUAAUGGACGUGGGGAGGAAUGGUAUCAGUCUACCAGCGUAAGCUUAUAUCAUGUAUCAGGCGUGCAAUGGUCAUGUGUCACUGAAGUUCCUGUCCCUUCUCUGGUUUGGAGGACAGAAGGCAUCGUGGAAGCUCAGGGGUGCAGUCGGAUCCAUCUUGCUGAAAAGCCGCUUACAGCUGUGCGGCAUGCUGGAAUUUUUUCCCACAGUGAGUGUCACUCGGCUCUGAUUCCAAUGCGGAGCGUAAAGCAGAACCAAACUUGCUGUCAGGCUGGAAUGAUUGCUUGA